UCUGUUUACGUUCCAUCAGCUGGAGGAAGUCACACAGCAGAUGCCAGAGGACCAGCAUGGGAGGGCUGUUCUGCAACCAGGACACCUGCCGUGGUGCCCCACUUUCUCCAGGAAACAAGGACACCCGCACGGAGUGCCCGCGCGAGAGUCAGCAACCAGCCUCGGCUGUGGGGUUCCUGCAACGUGUGUUCCUGCCGGGGUUCUCCUUCCUGCCAUUCCGAGCUACGGUGGGGAUCACGCACCCCAUACGUGGAGCCCAGGGACAGCGCAGCCCAGGGAGUGCCCCCCCAGCCAGGAAGUCUGACCUUCAUAGAACGGGGAAGACCAUCUUCCACUUUACGCUGCCUGGGCGACUGUAAACGUGGAUUCCACCGUCUCAGACAGUAGACGAUUCCCAGUCUUACUGGGAGGAGCCUGUUGCUCAUCUAGAUGCUGUCUUGGAUGCAGUGAAGUCUGGCGAUGGCUGUUUCAGAAGCCGUUAGGAUGGUGAAGUGAGACAAUGUGAACGGGGUGUUUUGUGAGGCUCGGUGCUGCAUAAAUGCUAUAGCCAUCAUUUUAGAGCAAGAAUUGCUUGAAAUGUUUCUUUCUCUCAAAUUUAUGAAAAGAUUAGAAAAUAGUUCUAAAAAUUAAAAAUUGUUCUGGUCAGAGCGGCUUACAUGAUGGCAGUAAAAAUGUGCACAGAUUCAUGGUCCCACCGCGUGCAUUUGGUGUGGAGAGAACGAAAUGUGGAGGCCGGUGAUACCAAGAACACCCCGUGAGCCGCGCUGGGUGCAGCCUCCACGGCAGGCGAGCAGUGACACCGCAGUUUCCUCUCCUCCGGCGUCCACGCUUCCUGUGCCCACGUGCUGGAGGCUCACUCUUCACGCCCCCCUCUCAGUUACGUGUCUAUGGGGCUGAGACGGGGAAGGAAGUUGGUGAAGCUGGUUGGAUCUUCCCAGGGAUGUUCUGUGUGCAAGGCUCGGGGGCAAGGACGGCUGGGGGAGUCAGACCGUCAGAGAAGCUGAGGGGUGGAUGGAGCCUCACCAUGCCUGAGUCCCUGUUUUCCAGCUGCAGGUGCUGACCCUCCAGAGCUUUGUUUGCCAGCCCCUUGCAGCUGUGAUCUGGAGUCAGCCAGGCAUUCCUCCUUUUCCAAUAGAUUUUAUUAAGUGCUUGAUGUGUGCCAAGCCAAGUGUCUGACUUACUGCAUGCCCGAGAAGCCAUGCUGUUGCGGGAAUUUCCUCCGCAAACCUGAAGGAAUUGAACUUCAGGAAUGGCUGGAACCCUGGAGAGAGAGAACCAGGUUUCUGGAGGAAAAUCACUCCUUUUAAGGAAGCAGCAUCCUGGACCCUCGAGGCCCUGGAGGAAGUGGGCAGCACAGCUAGGAGUCAGGUGUGGCUGGAGGACAGCCGUCGCACCUGCGAAAUUCUGUCUGUGGUAUGUGGUUCCUUCCUGGCGCUGGGAACCACCUGACACUUGCAUUCUUCCCUUUUCCUUUCUAUUCUCUUUCAAGUCAUCCCCCUUGAGCCAGCCCUCCAGUCCAGGCCAAAUCCCAGCCUGCCCUCGGUCCGCUGUUGUUGGGCCUGCACCCGAGCCAUGAGCACACACAGUGAUUGUGGCAGCAGAAGCUUCUUCUGGGCUCAGACUUAGGCUGAUGCUGCGCGUCAGGACCUGCCGCAGUCUCGCUGGGCUUCCUGGGACUCACUGGUUGUGGGCUGGGAUUGUAAAGCAUGGAAUGACUCUGGAAGCUGGGCGUCAUUCCUUGUGGUUUUCCAAGCUUGGUCUCUGAUGUGACUCCAGGUCUUAGGAGACAUGCUGAAUAUUUAUUAUGCUUACAUUCAAGCAACAUUAACCCUCAAGGUUGACCUAGCUCCCCGACCUUUUUUCUCAGAAGGAAGAGCACUGACGGGACAUUUUUCCAGUAUGGAUUCCUCCCAACUCUGAGAAGUUGGAGACACACGGAUUCCUCAGCCAGCUCCCAUCUACGGACGUGCUGUAGUCACAAGGACUGUGACUAAGGCUCAGUCCCUGAGGAGCACCUUGGCAUGGGCUGCUUUAGGCCGUACAGACCCAGUUUUAUCCACUUUAUGUGAAGAAAGCCAACAAGGGACAUGGAGUGUGUUCUGCAGGUGUUAGCGGCUGCGGUGGCUGGUGCUCCGUGGGGAUGACGGAGGGAAGGCUCCUCCCUCUGUGGGCCCCAAUGUCUGUGCUGGAAUCAGCUCUGCAGCUGUGUCUGGGGCAGCCAGAGACCACACACGGCAGGCUCACAGCUCUGUUCCACGAGAACUUUGUACACAAAAGCAGAUGGGCUGGGCUUGACCUCUGCAUCAUAAUCUGCUGACCCCUGGGUAAGAGAUUUUAAAUAUUUACUUAAUUCUAUUCAACAGAAGGGGUGAUAUACUGAGGAGUGAAUAAUGGGAAAGACCUGAUUCAGCUGUAUCAGGAAGGACUGGUGUAAAUUCAACUUAUUAACUGAAAUCACAAUAUUCAAUGUAUUAUGCCUUUAGGGGUAAAAGUGGGUCACACAUGAGCAGCAUGCGCUUCACUGGCCAGGCAGGACACCUCGGCGUUUAGAUAAACGGUUCCGACGCUUACCCAGGUUGGAGGCUGUUAGUAGUGAAGUGUCUGGAGUUCUGGAUACUUUUCUGGCUUUGCUAUAUUUGUGUGAGCUUGUGCACAGUUAGAGGUUUGGGCUAAAUUUGGGUAGAAAUGGGUGGUUCACAGGAUGCAAAAGUUCUGUGGACCCUUUUUUUCCCCAGUUGAUUAAUGUUGUAAAGAUUAGAAUAUUGUUACACAAAAAUCUGGAUUUUUAGUUUCUUUCACAUUGGAAUAGCUGCCAACAUCGUGCCUGCAUUCAUCUCUCUAGGGUAACGCUGGCUGCAGUGGAGACGGCUGCCCCCCAGUGGGGCGUGUGUACUCAGCCCGUAGCCCCCGCCCUCCGGACUCCAUUUGCCUCCUCUGUCAGGUUUGCACCUCAUCAUUGGCUUCUAAUUUUGUGUCCCUGGACUGCAAGACCUACAAGUCUCCCAGCACAACCAGAUUCUAUGAUUCUAUUCAAAAAGAAGCCAGUGAGGCUAGCGUAUCACCGUGUUGAUGAAUUCACAGGAUUAACUCUGGGAGCUGGGGGCAGUUUGUAUUCUUCCUCCAGAUACUCUCUGCUUCUCCUGGCUGGAAAGGUUCUGCUACUCAUCCCGUGGUCAGGCCCAGCCAAUGGAACGGGAACCGAAGUGACUCUGCCCCUUACUGGCAGAAACUUUAAAAGCCGCACAACGUUCCUGCACCCUCCCCCUCUGCCACGAGCCUGGCAGUGCUCAGGAUGGUACAAUUAUUUCACCUGGGCCUGAGGAUACGGGAGCUACUCCCAGCCUGCAGUGGAACAGAAGCAUGGACAGGUGAUUAAGCUUUGCGUUUUCGAGCUACAGAGGUUUUGAGGUUGUUCGCUACCAUGCUUUGUCCCUACAAACCCAGUCAUGGAGAAGGCCAGUGGCAGAGCCUGAGCCGCUCGCACAUCUGUUCACCAGUAUCCAGAAUAGCAAUAGAUUUUUAAAACAUUCCUGAGAAAAUUCUGGGAGUUGCAUAUUGGCCAGUCUUAUUCUCUAAAGUUGCUCCUUCUAAAGGGUGGGAUGACUGAAAAUUUCAGAAAAGCAAACCAUUGCUGAAAGGCAACAUUAUUUCUGUUGGCAGAAGGCGGCUUGAGCAAUCUAGAUUUUCCACGGUUCACCAAUUACUUUUUGAGGAAAUAUGGCCAUGAGAUGAAUCGAACAUGAUUCCUACCUUUAAGGAACUCAGAGAAGUGAAUUAAAGGAAGUCACAGAUCAGACAACCAACCACACAAAGUUUCUAGGAGCAAACUUUGUUACGUUCGGCAAGUCACUCUUACCCGCUGUUUUGCCUUCUGAGGUUUCAGUUACUCUCCGUCAAUCACAGUCCAAAAACAUUCAAUGAAAAAUUCCAGAAA